GAAGAGGAAACGCCCGGCGAGGACGCGAGACGAAGAUAGAGUCACUUUUGUCAACAACUUCUAACGGAUAUAUAUAUCAGCGGAGAUAAUCUGCACCGCGGAUGGUUCACAUGCUUUUGCGUGGACACGGCUCUCGCCGCACAGCCACAUACGAUAGAGGAGGGGUUCACGUUCGGUGGCAGAAGCAGCUGGUCGCGGCGGCGGCAACGGCGAUGGGGUUGUGGGUUCUGAUGAUUUGCUUCCUGGCGCUGCCGACCAUCGUACAAAGCCAAUCUUCGAUAGGUAUGUUGCUCUUUUCUGUUCCCGAUUUCUUCUGAUGCGAUUAGUGUAGGUAAAAAGAUUGUGCAUGCGAUUUGUUGAGGAGGCCAAAUCAGCGUAGGAUGCAGGUAGAGGAAGCCACUUUUUACGACUGCCGAUGUUUAAACUUUCUCGUCCUAAGAAUUUUUUUCGUAUCAAAUGCCGCCUUAAUAGAUUAAAAUAAGAGUAAAUUGUCUUUAGAAAGGGAUAGGAGGAGAGAAAGAGAGAAUGGUACAAAGGUAAAUGAUAAAAAAUCAACAUCUUAGGUCUAAAGUGGGUCAACCUCUUUUAGUAAACGCUCACGGCUGCCUUCUCCAGGGUGACAAACCUUUAACAUUUGAUACGAAUGCGGUAAUACCAAGUAAUUCAUGAAACUAACAAAAAUUUAAUGUACUUAAGGCUGUCAUAAAUCCAUUGACAACUGAUCCUUUUUCAGUAAAACAUUAACUCAUUAAAACAUGUAGCAACUUGUUCAUGAAAAAAAUGAUGAUAAAUCUCAAUGUAGUUAUUUUUAUUUGGAACACUAGAUUUUAUUCAUUAACACAAUAUAUCACUAUUCGAUUAACUUGUGUCAAAUUAAAAUAUUCCAUGGUCCUCCUCAUCUAUAUACCUAGUUGUGUAACUCAUGAUGCAGCACAUAAUUUAAUAUGAUGAUAAGAAUGUGGUUUCAUCAUUAUUUAAACUCCAAACCGAUGUAUCUAAUUCAAGAUUGAAAAAUAAAUCUACUUCUACUCUUCUUGUUAUCUAUGAUUCAUCCUAAUCAAUGCCAGUAAAAUCAUCUAAUUUAAAAUUAGUAACAUAACUGCCUAAAAUUUAAUAAUUACUAAUCUGAAAAAUAUAAUAAAUAUUUCUCUUUGCUGCUAAAAGAUGACAUGGUAUAUUAUGAGUUUAAUACAUAACGAUGAGACUUCUCUAAAAUCAUUCAGAGUAGAACAAGUGUUUUAGAGGAGUAAAACAAGUGUGUUAGUGGAAGCUGAAGUCUAUGGGGAAAGUGCGAAGUGGAAGCAACAUGUUAAUCUCCCAAGUUCCACCUGAGCCAUCUGUCUGCUGGUCUGAGAAAAAUCUGAGCAACCACUUCUUCUUGAUGUUAGGUCGCCGUUGAUUCCGAGCCUAUCGUUCCUUGAUAUCAAGAGUGAUUCAGCAUAGGUCAUCCGCAGCAUACAGACAAAAGAAACCGUGCGGUUAGAGCUCUCUCGUCGAACCGGGAGGACACUGUGACUCUGAGUCAACGAAGGUGGCCGUGAUCUUUCAUUUUCCUUCCCGUCAUAUACGCCGACGACCCAGACUGGAGUCUCAAGUCUCCGGAAAUAACAAGAAAAAAGACCCAGCCGGAUAAUCUCCAUUCUCCGUGAGUCGCAUACCUGCUUGUCCUGGAUAGAACGUCGGACUGGCGGCAGGCCUCUGCUGAUUCCAGUCCUCUUAUCCCGAACAUCGACAGGAGACCGUCAUCGCCCAUCCGCC
rnacentral:lncRNA from 1 species